ensembl:snoRNA SNORA50A Small nucleolar RNA SNORA50
UGGCACUGUCUUUGAACUUUUGAAGCCCUCCUCAUGGCUCCAGAGGCUAAGCUACAGUGCAAAAUCAAAUGUUUGUUAUAACUGGGGCCUCUUGGUAUUUCACCCCAAGUUGCUCUUUUAAAAGCAGACUACAUUG